rnacentral:rRNA from 1 species
UUUAUGGAGAGUUUGAUCCUGGCUCAGGAUGAACGCUGGCGGCGUGCCUAAUACAUGCAAGUCGAGCGAACGGACGAGAAGCUUGCUUCUCUGAUGUUAGCGGCGGACGGGUGAGUAACACGUGGAUAACCUACCUAUAAGACUGGGAUAACUUCGGGAAACCGGAGCUAAUACCGGAUAAUAUUUUGA